GACGAACGCUGGCGGCGUGCUUAACACAUGCAAGUCGAACGCGCCUGUCCUCUGGGUUUCUGGGGGGUGGGUGAGUGGCGAACGGGUGAGUAACACGUGAGUAACCUGCCCCCUUCUUCGGGAUAACGGUCUGAAAGGGCUGCUAAUACCGGGUAUUCACUGGUCUCCGCAUGGGGUCUGGUGGAAAGGUUUUUUUCUGGUGGGGGAUGGGCUCGCGGCCUAUCAGCUUGUUGGUGGGGUGAUGGCCCACCAAGGCUUUGACGGGUAGCCGGCCUGAGAGGGUGACCGGUCACAUUGGGACUGAGAUACGGCCCAGACUCCUACGGGAGGCAGCAGUGGGGAAUAUUGCACAAUGGGCGCAAGCCUGAUGCAGCGACGCCGCGUGAGGGAUGGAGGCCUUCGGGUUGUGAACCUCUUUCGCCCGUGGUCAAGCCGCGACGGGGGUCGUGGUGAGGGUAGUGGGUAAAGAGGCGCCGGCUAACUACGUG
rnacentral:rRNA from 1 species